rnacentral:lncRNA from 1 species
AAAGAGCAUGUGUUAUAUAUAUAUAUCAUGUUAAUAGAGAUAAUAAAGUUACCAAGUACAAGGAAGCUCCUCUUCCGAAGAUAAAAUCAUAGGUUCCUUCGAUGUAACAGUCUUUGAAGAAAUGGUUGCCUCUGUCAUCGCAGAGAGUAUCUUGAAAACCGUAGAAUCUACAGUUGUAGAAAGACGCUUUAUCUCCGUUGAUCCUCAUUGCUAGAGCUUGUCCUUGCGUUCCUGGUUUCGGCAUUGGAGCAGUGUUCUAUAGAAUAACAUACAUUAGAUUAGUAGCAAUCAAUCUUUGACGUAAUGUAAUAGCGUAGAGCGAAAAAUAUAUUUCACGUACUCUAAUGAUGAGGUUAGCUGCCUGGAAAUACUCAGACCAGAUGAUAAGAGUUGCACUCUCUACGGUUCCGUACUUAGCGGCUGUCCCGUGGUAAGUCAAGACCGUUUCCGCACCAGGUUGACCAAGCAAUGUAACGAAUGGUCGAGCUAUGUCGAUCGUGACUUUCUCAUUGUAUACACCAGGAGCCAAUUUGAUGAUCACACGGUUCUUGUUUCCUGUCGGAAUGCUCUUGAUCGCUUCGUUUAAUGUCUUAAAGUUUCCCCCUCCUUUUUGAUUCACCUGCAUGCAAUGAAUUUUUCAUAUUUCAUUCGAAUUAACACACAUACUCAACUGAAACCAAACAAAAGUCGGAAUAUAUAGUAACGUACGGUGAUGACACGUCGUGAUGCUUCAGCAGCAUCGAGAGCUGGGUCUAGCGUGCCCUUUCUCUGGGAAUAGGGCUUAACAUUGGUCUGGAACCAUUGCGAGAUUUGGGCUCUGUUUUCUGGAAUAGGAUCUGUAUCGGUGGCUAAAAUCACCGGCGAAGCAAAAAAGACUAGGAAUGCAACCACGGACAUUGAAAUGUAAUAACCCAUCUUUUAUUAUUUUCUUUUAUUUUUUUUACAAAAUAAAAGAAAAUAAUGAAAAGGUAGAAAAAACUACGUUUUACUACAAUCUUAUUUAGUUUGAGAAUGGAAGAAAUGAAGAAGCGUUAAAGGGGUUUUUAUACUUGUCUUGCUUGGUAAAUGUCUGACCGGACAGAUCUUGUUUUUACUAUUCUCGUUUGUGGUUUAUAUUUCUUGAAGCAUUUCUAAAUAUUUGGUUUUGUCGUAAAUACAAAAAAAAAAAAAAAAAGUAAAUACAAAUUUGGUAAUUUUUCUUGUAGUUAAAUUUGUAAAUUCAUCUAUCACCAUCUACGAAAAGGAUACUUUACAGUUGGCAAAAGUCAACAUGUUGAAUAUUUGACUCCUCCAAAGAGAACUCUAUUGUUGCAUCAUCUAUUUAUAAAUUUACCGAAAUUAAAGACCUAAAACAACAAUUUAUGUUCGGAUGUAAAUUUGUGAGACAUCAGACAUGAAUAGUUAGUUCAGUGGUAACUAGAAUUUUGGUGUGUUUUUUUUGCUUUAGGUCGAAUGACAUUUUUCAAAGUUUUUGAUUGUGCAUGUGUAUAUUAGUUCAGUGGUAACUAAAAUCUUGGUGUUUGCUCUACGUCAAUGAUUUUCACACCUUUUUUUAUAUAUACAUUUUUGUUUUAUUUCUAUGUGCAUGUGUACGGUGGUACCCAUUGCCAGAUGAAAAAAACUUUACAUCAUUUUCCUCCAAAAUCAUAAAUUUUUAUUUUCAUACAAUAUUUACUUUUUUCAGAACGCAAUUCCCUAAUAUUAUAGAUUUAUCAAUAUUUGAAAUUAAUGAUAAUAAAAAAUUGGAGAGAAAAACACGAUUUGGAAUUGUAUAUGAACUGAAGUAUAAGACGAUCUCCAUAUAUCCCUCAUAUUAUGAAGGUGUCUUCAUAUAAUUAAAAUAUAAUAUGUAUCUACAAAAAUAUUUAGGUGUUUUAAAACUUAGACAUUGUGUCUUAAAUGUCUUUGCAGAGAUACUAAUAAAGGAGAAAGAUAUCUCCAAUAAAAUGACCCUUUAAUCAUUAAAUUUAUUAAUAUUUUUUGUAAAUUUUUUUUUUUUGAGUAUUGUUUAAGACACACUAUCCAUAGAUGUGCAAUUUUAGUAAAACACAUGCACCCUUUAUUUUAAUAAAAGAAAAAAUUUCCCCAAAAUAUUAAUAAAUUCAUAAUUUCAAUCGCAUUGUCACACCUUAAUCAUAAAUUCACAUCAUCAUUGGAUUUGAUUCACGCUACCAUAGGCUGGUUAAUUCAUGUCCAACCAACCGGAUUUUGGUGAUCAUUUAGUUUAAUUGAUGAAUAAAUUGACGAAAGAUGUGUUUAAUUAACUCUUAUCAAUAUAAUAUAAUAAUCAUUUUGAUUACAAUAAAACCAAAACUAGACAAGUCUCUACUCUUCCAUCAUAUAUAACAAAAGGAGAGGAUUUUCCGAAAAUAAAACCUACAAUUCUAUUUUUCUUUUAGUGAAAAAUAUAGAAUUGUAGUUAUGAAGGGUGUGGUUAAUUUAGUAAGCCGGAGCAGGGAGAAGCCAUGAGGAGCCCUUGAUGUAGCCGAGAGAAAGGAAAUGGUUAGCUUCUUUGUUGUCAAUGUCUUGUGUGUGUGCCACUCUCUUAGCUUUGUGUGAUCCUGGUCCCGUGCACAUGUAUUCUCCAUAAAACACCGUCCUAUAUCAUUCAUCAUGUCAACAAGUGUUAAUACAAGGUUCAAAACAAGAUCAUCACUGCAUGCACAUUUACAUGAUUUAGAGUGAAAUUGAUAGACUUACUUGUCAUGAGCGGGGGUCCUGUUUUCUUGCCAUCCGGACGGGUUGACGACACUGGUCAUCUCAGUGUAGGCAUAGACGACCUUAGGGUGGCUCAUCCAAGCCCUGCCCAAGUAGAUUCCGGUUCCAUCUCCAGUGAUCUUGCAAUGGACGAACGAAUACCCAUUCUGCUCAUUGUCAUUUUGACGAUUGUGUGCUGUGAUCACUCUUAAUCCAUCUCCAACAGCAUGCAAUUGUGUAUUCUAUAGAUAAAACAAAACACGGUGUAAUAAUUAGUCAUGCGAUAUAAAAUGUGUUCAAAAUAUCGAAAUAAGUAAAAGUAUACACGUACCAAGUACAAGGAAGCUCCUCUUCCGAAAAUAAAAUCAUAGGUUCCUUCGAUGUAACAGUUCUUAAAGAAAUGGUUGCCUCUGUCGUCGCAAAGAGUGUCCUGGAAUCCAUAGAAUCUGCAGUUGUAGAAAGCAGCCUUAUCCCCGUUGAUCCUCAUAGCUAGAGCUUGUCCUUGUGUACCUGGUUUCGGCAUUGGAGAAGUAUUCUAUAGGAAAUACAAAAAAAAAAACCAUUACAAACUAAUCCUUUAACGUACGUGUUAUAUAUAUACUAAUAUCAAUAAAUAUUUUAGAAUAUGUAAUACAUACGAUCAGGUUUAAGUUGGCAGCCAUAAAGUAUUGUGCCCAGAUGAUAAGCGUGGCACUCUCGACGGUGCCGUAUUUGGCGGAUGUUCCAUCGAAUGUCAAGUUGGUUUCAGCACCAGGUUUGCCAAGCAAUGUAACGAAUGGUCGGCCUAUGUCAAUUGUGACUUUCUCUUUGUAUACGCCAGGGGCCAACUUGACGAUCACACGUUUCUUGUUUUCCAAAGGAAUGCUCUUGAUCGCUGCGUUUAUUGUCGUAAAAUCGCCGCCUCCUUUUUGAUUCACCUGCAUUUCGAAUUUAAUUGAAUGAUUUAAUUUGUGUCUAAUUCGGUUAAAAUGAUUUUAAUAAUCCGAAACUAGAAAUGAAGUAUAACGAUUAAAAUAUAUUUAUUAGAUUUUGAUCAUCAGGUUUCUUUAUAUUUAAAACUGGGAUGGUGAUGAUAAAUACUAGAUAGAGUAGUAGUUGUGAAUCACUUACGGUGAUGAUACGUGGUGAUGCUUCAGCAGCUUCGAGAAGGGGGUCGAGUGUGCCUUUCCUCUCGGAAAGGGGUUUAACGUUGGCCUUGAACCAUGGCUCAACUUGGGCUUUUUCUGCGGGAAUCGGAGUUAUAUCAUCGGCUAGAACCACCGGUGUAGCAAAAGCUACAAGAAAUGCAAUCAGGGACAGAGAAAUGUAACCCUUCAUUUAUUAUUAUUAUUAUUAUUAUUAUUUUUGUAUUAUUUUAUUUGUAUUUAAAAAUAUAAAAAAAGAAAAUAGAAAGAAAAUAUUUUUAUUUAUUUACUUUAGUAAUGGAAGAGAUGAAGAAGCCUUGCAGCUGAAGGGGCUCUAUAUAUACUUGUUGUCGGGAUCGUGUUCAUGUCUGACCGGAUAUAUCUCUCUCUUUACUAUUCUCGUUUGUGGUCUUUUGCCCUCUUCUUUAGACAAUUCUCGUUUGUGGUAUUUUGCCCUGUUCUUUAGACAAUUCUCGUUUGUGUGGUUCAUAUUCCUUUAAGCAUUUUUGAUUAUUUCAAUCUUGAUAAAAUCGUAAUUUCUGAUGCACUUUGUGUGUGAUUCAAUUAAGUAGCUUAUUUUGUUCAAUAAUAUCUCUUUCCAUUUAUUCUAUUCUCAUUCCACUAAUAAUUAAUCAGAGAUCAAAGAUUUCAAAUACUUUAAAAGGCAUUCCAUAACUACCGGAACUGCACUGUUAGUUUAACAUCGAGCUUUCUUUAGGCUCAUGAAAACGUACCAAGCUUGUUUUAUCGGUUAGUUGCUUCAUAUAGGUUUAACAUACAGUAGGGAACAUUACUAAGUAGUUAAUUACAUAAUACUUGUCCAUUAUUUAUAAAUGUAUAUUUAAAAAAAAAUUAAAUUAUCCUUUUCAUAUUUGAUUAAAUUGUAGAUCAAAUUAUCGAUAUGUUCUGUUGUUAAUUAUUUCUGUUUUUUGGUUUUGUAAUGGCUUAUAUAUCUCAGUCUAAUCUUUCAAUUAGUUUCGACUAAAGAGUCACGUACAUUGUAAAACUGUUUUUGCUUUGAUCUGAUUCAAAAUAAUAAAAAUAAAAACAAAUUAUUGAUACAAUUAGUGAUACAAAGCGGUGAAGUUUUCUUUGAUUGUAAGAGAUGAUGGUAUAUAGAUUUAGAGAUUCCUACCAUUGAUAAAUUUUGGCUGUAUUAAAAGAGAUGAUAGUCCAGUUAUUUCCUGAUCGGCAUAAGUGGUUUUAUGAUAAUUUAUAUUUUCUUUAAAUUUUUUUAAUCAUAUUAUAAACUUGAAAUAAAAUACUCUAAGAUGUUAUUAGUUACAAGAAAUGUCUGAUAUGGGACAAACAUUCAGUUUUGACUUCUGUUUUAACCGACCUUAUUCUUAUGAUUAUGAAACCUAAUUAAGUUCGCAAGCAAUAAUGCUCAUCCACAUAGUGACCGUUUUAUCUUCUAAAAACAUGAAAAAUAUAAAUAUUGAUAAUAUAUAGCAUGUCUUAUAGAUAUACCCAAAAAAAAAAAAAAAUCUCAAUAAUAUAAAUAUAUGAGCGUCAUCAAAACAAUAGAAUCCGUACUUGAAACAAAUAUAUAAGAGUUAUGAACCGAGACAACAAUUUUAUUAUAAUGAAACCAAAAUUAUACAAGUCUCCACUCCUCCAUGAUAUUCAAAGAAGAGAUCGGACUCUUGGAAAAGAAACUGAUACAAAAAGGGGAAAAGGAAAAUACACCGACAUACAUAUUUCGGUGAUGAUUAAGUAUAGUUUUAGUUUUAAUCUGAAUAGGUUAAUAAUAUUAAAGAGUUUACAAAGCGGGUGGUGGGAGAAGCCACUUGGAUCCUUGGAUGUAGCCGAGGGAAAGGAAACGGUUAGCUUCAGUGGCGUCAAUGUCUUGUGUGAAUGGAACUCUCUUGGCUUUGUGUGAUCCUGGUCCUGAACACUUGUACUCUCCGUAGAAGACGGUCCUGUCAUUUUAGAUCGAACCCGCAUAAGUGACCAGACCAAUUAGCUAGGUCAUCACAAAGCUUUCUAUCAUGUAAUGUAAUGUGAAGUUGGACUUACUUGUCAUGAGCGGGGGUCUUGUUUUCUUGCCAUCCGGUUGGGUUGACGACGCUGGUCAUCUCGGUGUAGGCAUAGACAACCUUAGGGUGGCUCAUCCAUGCUCUUCCCAAGUAGAUUCCUCCACCGGUUCCAGUCACCUUGCAGUGCACGAAAGAGUAUCCACUCUUCUCCUCUGCGCUCUUUCCUGCGUGUGCUGCGAUCACUCUGAUACCAUCUCCGACCACGUGCAAUUGUGUUCCCUUUUAAAUUCAACAUGUAUAUAGAGAUUUCAGACUUCUUUAAAAUGUAUGAAUAAUGGGAUACAGGGUGGUUCACGUACCAAGUACAUAGAGGUUCCACUUCCGAAGAUGAAAUCGAAUGUUCCUUCGACGUAGCAGUCCUUGAAGAAAUGGUUUCCGGUAUCGUCACAGACUGUGUCUUGGAAACCAUAGAAUUUGCAGUUGUAGAAGGCAGCCAUGUUUCCGGAGAUUCUCAUAGAUAAGGCUUGUGCUCCCUUUGUUUUACCAUCUGGCGCCGGGGCAGUAUUCUACAUAUAUAUAUAUAUGCAACAUAUAAAAAUUAAAUCAUCCGAAAUCUAGAGAGAAUUUUUUGCAUUGGCGUCGACUAAUAAAUACAUUGGUCAUAUAUGUGUACCUUAACGACGAUGUUGACGGCCAUGAAAUAGUCGGAUAAGAUAAUGAGAGAGGCACUAUCGACGGUUCCAUACUUGGCGGCAGUACCGUCGAAGGAGAUAACGGGCAUGGCAUUGGGUUGUCCCAUCAAUGUGAUGAAGGGUUUGUUCUUGUCGAUAGUGACCUUCUCUCUGUACUCACCAGGAGCCAUCUUUAUGAUCACCCGCUUUGUGUUCCCUGCAGGAACGCUCUUUAGGGCGUCUGUUAGUGUUUUGAAUUCACCUCCCUUUGGAUUCACCUGCAAAUAUUGUUACAUAUAUUUCAAUAUUUGUAUCAAAAUGUAUAUCUAGUACUGUAACCACAAGGUUGAGUUUGGGACAAUAUAUAUAUAUAUAGAAUGUUCAUACGGUGAUGGUACGUGGUGCAGCCUCAGCAGCCACGAGGGCUGGAUCUAAGCCUUUACGUUGAGCCAAUGGAGCAACGUUGGUCUUGAACCACUGCUCCACUUGGGGUUUGGUCUCUGGGAUUGGUGUCACAUCAUCUGCGAACACCACUGGUGAAACAAAGACCACCAACAGGCCUAAUAAAAUGGACACAUUUGUGUAUCCCAUUUUUUUAUUUUUAUUUUUUAUUUUGUUUUAUUAAAAAAAAAAGUUUUUUUUUUAGUUUUUUUUUUCCUUUUUUUUUUUUUUUUGUUUUUUGUUUUUGGAUGAUUUGAUGGGAAGAUGGCCAUGGGUUAUAUAUACUGUCAAAGAGAUGGGAAAUUUUAAGUUUCAUUUUCGUUUUCUAUAAUUGUUUGUGGUGAUCCAGUUCUGUAUCCUGCUAUAAUUUCUCUUAGGAUACCUUUUAAAAAAAAAAAAAAAAAAAAAAACAGAUGAUAUAUUUACUUUUUCAACUUUGAAUGUUUAUAGACAGAAGACUUUUUCAAGUUUAAAUGUUUGAGAAAGAAAAAAAAAAUUGUAUAUGUGCAUAUUUAACUAUUCCUCUUUAGAUUAAUAAAUUAAAGUAAUUAAAUAUUAAAAUAAAAUAAAAUUUGGAGUAUUAUUUUCCCAAAAUUUGCAGUUUAACUAUUAUAAAUAUUAAUUUUGGAGUAUUAUUUUCCUAAAAUUUGCAGACAACACUACAGUUUAGGAUUUACAUAGCAAUAUAGACAGACACAAUGGCAAAUUCGUCAUUUUCUCGAAGGACAUAUGUAGUAGUUUUCAAGAGCUGAGGGAGGAUGAUGAUUCAACCUGGCUCCACAACGCCUCAGCAUAAGCCUUCUCCUCUUCUGCAACGAACUCCACUCUUUCUUCAGCUUCAGUUUCAGCUUCUUCUUCUUCCAUUUCUUCCAUUUCUUCCUCAACUUCAGUUUCUCCACAUAAACUUCUAAAGCCUUCCCGAAACUCAGCCAAAGCUUCCUUCAUUGCCAAACCUGUAGCCGGUUUAUCACUCCAUCCAUAUUUUGGAGCCGGUACAACAAACGGCAGCAGAAUAUCAUUGAUCUUAGAACCAUCGAAUGAGUUAGUUUCUUCAUGUGGUGGAGGGAAAACGAAGACAAUCCCGAGCUCGUAGUUGCAUACACGAAGUUUACUGACUGAUCUGAUGGCAUUGUUGGACUGGUCCUGGUUGUUUCUGGAUGAUCUGGAAAUGGUCUGUCCCCAGGCAGCUGCACUGAAAUUAUGUGAGCCGCAGUAAACCCAACCAAAUGAAGAAGACCGUGAACCUCUUGUGGAGGUGAAGAGUCUCCUAGCCACCUGAUCAUAGUUUAUAAAGACAUUAUUCUACUGUGUAAGAGUAGGGUUUCGUCAACUCGUAAAUUCUUAUCUUGUCCCACGCAGAGUUCUCCUUUGUUCUUACCUUGAUAUGCAUUGGGUGUCCAACUCUAUCUUCAGGAUUAGGAACUGCAUCGUGAAGCACAUUGUUAUGUCUCAACUUUUGCCAGGUUUUCUGCACAAGAUUAUCAAAGUUUUGAGAUAUCUAUUUUCCAGCACAUUAUAGGAUCAAUGCAAAACAAUCCUUUAUUUUCUUUCUAGACAAAGGUUUGUGCAUAAUACAUGUGUAAAAUAGGCAUAUACCUCGGAGAAGCAAAGCAGACAUUUUGAAGACAAGACACCACGAUGACCAUUCUUGACUCUUUCAAUGGUAGGGAAGAUGAUUUUAAUGGAAGGAGCUUCCCGUUCUUCCUUAUUACUCCAGCAUCCCCACUGAUCAAAGAAUAUUGGACAAAACAUUUUCAUGCACAAAACUUGUGGUGAAAGCUUUUAAUGGUGCUUCGAAACAAUACAAUACCUCUGGAUCAGACUCCUGGGAGUCAAAAUGCUUUAACGCUUUUUUACCCGCAGCUGAUGCAAAAUCAGCUUGAAAUCCUGCGGUUGCUGAGCCUCCAAUUGAGGAUGCACCUAUAAUAAGGAAAAAAUAUGUAAACUUAAUACCCUAUCAAGGUGUUUGUUUACCAUUAUUACAUGAAAAGCACUUACUGUAGACGAAUUCAGAUUCCUGAGAUUCGGGCCACUUGUAACAGCCUAGCACCUUUCGAGGAACCCAAUACAGAAGACCACAGUUAGAUACUGAUACACUCGUUAAAACUCAAGGAAUUCAAAGCAGGAUUCUUUUGUUUUAUUAGUAAUCAAGCUUACCUCUUGUAGCCUCCAAAUGCCAGUACACCUCUGAAGUGAAGCGAUCAAAGAGCACAACGCAACAACAUGAUUAGGUUGAAUCAACUUUGACACGUCUGAAAUGGACACUCCCUUAAAAAAUUCAUGAGAGAUCUUUAGAUGUAUCCAUAGUCUAUUUAUGCAAAGUAUCUAAUAAGCAUAUGAAGAGUACCAUACCUGUAAUACAUGCAGCAUUAGUUUCACCUUCUGGUUGCUCCUACAAGAAGCAGCACCAAGGACUUCAUCCCGAUACACAUAUCCCACAAAUUUAAAGAAGCCAAUAUCCCACAAAGGAGACACCCACUUUGCAAUAUUCCGUGGCAAAAAGCCUAGUUGGACAAAAUCUGUCAAAAAGGAAAUUUGUAUGAGUCAUAGAAUGAAAAUUCAUGUCAAGAACAUACAACCAUCUGUCAUACGUGAAAUGAAACUUACCGUCUCUUGAAUCAUCAUCAGGGUUAGGAACAAGGACACUCACAGCAUUCACGUCAGCAGGAACAUUUGUAUUUCUUCUCAAAACAAGUUCCAACAUUCCGAGAGAAUUUUCCCGGAUUCUGCAGAUAUAUGAAGCCAGUCGUUUCAGUUGUGCUCCUGUGGAAUCAUUGGCAGAGCGGAAAAGGUAACUGAGACCUACGACAGAUGCUUCAACUGAUCCCACAAAUUCUUCAUUGUAAAUCUGUUAAACAAGAAUCAUACAGUUAGUCAAGAUAGGGAUGCAUUACCAAAAUUUAUAGUUUCUAAAUAUACAGGACACAAUCAAACUUUCAAAAUUAUUUAAGAAAAACAACUAAGUGAACACAAAAAAUGUGUUUAAGAUAUUGAUACUAAUAAAAAAACCCAUGCAUAAAAGAUGGAAGAUGAAGCUACUCACGGUAUUUGAGCAAACAGGUUCUGUAAGAUAAGAUGGCCUAUAAGAAUGAAUUCCAGGCACUGAAGCCACAAGGUGACCUGCUGAGUGUUCAAAGUUGUACUUCAUGAACUCGAAAAUCCAAUGGGCUUGACUUGGAACAUCAAUUAAAAGUGAUGCAGCAAAUCCAGCCAGCUGAGCACUAAAAUCUGACCUAGAACUAAUAUUGGUUUUUCUUCGACAAGGGCCGAAAAGGGAUAAAAUAUCAGGGUCAGCUCUUCGUGGAAAAUCUUGCCACCAAACUGUGUUGGUUACGUCCUUCCACUGAAAUUAUAAAUCUCCAUUAGAAAAUGAAAUAUGAUUAGACUCUCUGUUAUAGCUGAAACCUCAUUAUAGCCAAUGUGAUGCCUGAGACUCAUCUGUGAUUCACUUACAUAGUUACAUUACUAUAAACUAAGGCCUACACUCUUACCUGUCUUGCUACUAAGUUUGCAGAUGUAAUAAUCACACGGAUGCUAUCUUCUCUUUGCAAAAUAAACAGCUUGGGAUGAUGACAAGCAAUGCCACGGUUCUUGCGAUCUUUCCCAAAUGCAAUUUCUUCGGGAAAUGGUGGAAACCUAAAACAAGAGAAAAACACUUCAGAUAAAAAUUAUGAAGUUUAAAUUAAAAAGAAAGAAAGAAAGAAUAUAACCACACAUCAUUCCGUUUCUCGGAAAUAUGAUCAGGUAUUACGUACACCAUAGUUACAUUUGGGUAAUUUGGCAAAGGAACAGCAGUUCUUGCAUCAGAGUGUGAACUCCAACAUCUCUCAGCAUUGUGACAUGCAAUAGUCACCGGCAAGUGGCUCGGUAUCUCACAACAGGUAAGAAACCUGCUUAUAUAACUUUGUCAGAAUCUUGAAUACGCAUGGGAAACAAAUGGAGAUAUCGUAUCCACUUUUCUUUUAUUUUUAGACUACUGUACUAGGGAAAAAAUAAAAGAUACUCUUUUUGACAUACCAUAAGAUAUCACUUGUAAAUGUUGCAAUAAAGAUUUGUGAAAUGCUUUCCACAGGGUGAAGAAGUUCGGGCAAGGACACCACCCGUUGACAACCAGUUGAGCUUUGUUCAAUAUAUUGAAGACGAUUUAGAUAAAAGUUCUUCCCAGGUGCUUGGAGAGAACAUUGACAACUUUUUUCCUUACUGAUAUCAUGAGCGUUUUCUUUUCCUCCAUCAAAAGGAAGCCUAGUCGCAGUCUUGUCACUGACAGAAUUACAAUCAGCACCAUAGUUUUCUACUUCACUUAUCAAGUUUGACACACCAAGUCUUCUAUCUAUAUGUGAUUUCGGGAUUGGUAAUUCGUCCCUCACCCUUAAAACGGACAAACAAUGACCCAUCUCAUGAUUAGUCUCGGCACUCUUGACUACUCUAUUAUCGGCCACUAUAUCUGCUUUUGACCUUAACAUUUUGGAUGUACAACAGGAUGAGCAUUCCUUUACAGAAUCUGAUAUAAUAGAUAGCCUAAGGCAAGAUACAGGAUCACCACUGCUUAAUACAUGUCUACAAUAGCUGACAAGAGAAUUCAAUCUAUCAACAACGCUAACAGCUUUAGGUGGAUAAAACCCAGAACAUGGAGAACUAAUCUCGUUUUCCAUCGGCGCAAAAACCCUUUUGCUUCUCUUCCCACUAGAAAUGGUUCCUCGGGAAUGUCCUGAAGAAACCGACACUCCAGUCAUUCGACAUCUAUCUUCAACAAUCAAAGUAUCUUUUCCUUCGAAAUCAAUCCCUUGAAGCACAAACCCAACUCGACAAUGCUUAUUGCACAACCCUUCCUUACCACAAACAAACAAUACCUCAUCACCAACAGAUAUCUCCUGAAUUUUAGCUUUCCUAACCCUAACACGAUUAACAUACACACCAUUCAAAGAAGCCCUAAACUUCAAACUCCCCAAAUUCUCAACACCAAAUAAUCUUCUCCUAAACUCAUCACUAACUUGACUAAAACCACCCGAAGGCAAGAGAAUCACUCCAUCAAAAAUGUAAAGUUUGCGACUUUGGCUAUCAAAUAGAAUCUGACAGUGCUUUCUACUAAUACCGACAUUAUCAAUGACGAAAUCGCAAAACUCAUCACUACUACCACUUCGACCAAUCGUGUACGGCCGAUCUGAUUCAAUAUGAACUGACUCUACGGGUAAACCAGAAGACCCAGAAAUCAAUGGUGUACCAAUAUUGUGAAUACGAAUCAAAACUUUCUCGCAGUGUCGCCGUUUCAUGUCUCUCAUCAAAAUCGAAAUCGAAAUCUUUACAUAUAUCACACAAAAAUUUGGAAAAUAUAAGAAAGAACAAAAUCUGAAGAGAAAGCAAAACCCUUUCCCCCAAACUGAUUUUGGCUUUCCCUCCCAAAUCGAUGUGCUUUGGGGUUUGGGACUGUCUCGCUUACUGUUUGGACAACAGGAUAAAACUAUUCUUCGUCCGAAUAGCAUAACUUUCCCGCUUUUACACAGCAGUUAAUUAAAAUUUUGUUACCUUCAACAUAUGUGGUAAAAUUAUUGUAAAUGUUUUAUUAUUGUUUCCAAGGUCAAAUUAUUAUUAUUUUAAUGAUUUUUCAAGUCAAAUUAUUAUAAGCUAUGGUUUUUGUUGGAUACCCAUUUAUUUAAAAAAAUGUAAUCACAUGAUAAUUUUCUGAGUAAUAUCUUCAUUUAAAAAAAAUAAACAAAAGUCAAAAUCAUCAAUCUAGCCAAAAAUAAUCAAUACUAUAUUUACAAGUGGUAGGUGAAUAAAAAAAAUGCAAUGUUUUGAAAAAUUUAAAAUAAAUGUUCCAUUGGUUAAUUAAUUUAGAUUUUGAUGAUUGAUUAGAUGUAACGUGAGCAUAGUAAUAUGACGACGAUAAACCUUAUUAAAAAAAAAAAAAUUCGGAAUAUGCUGACCAAAACUUAAAAAGUCUAAACAUUGGACGUGGCACGGUAAUGCGCGGGAGAUUUGACCAUGAAGAAAAGAAAAAAUAAUACUAAUAACAACAACUCUGAAGAAAUUUUCUAACCAACUCCAACACAACAAGAUUAAACAAAUUUAAAGUCUCCUUUCAUGCUACUUUGAAUCUUUCUAUAUUAGAAAAAGAUUCAAAUCUAUAACAUUUUUUUAACUAUAUAAAACCAUAAUUUAAUUCCAUAGUGUAUUGGUUAGUGUAUGCUUUUGGUAUUACAAGUUCUUCUCUCUGUUUUCUUUUUCAACAUUUUCAUAAAUCUUCUCUCUCUCUCGUUGCUUGUUUCAGAUGCACAAAAAAGAAAAGAUUUGAGGAAUCGAAGUGAAAAAUGCAAAAGCUAGACUUCGAAAAUACGAGACACUACUACUAUCCAAGCGGCACAGAGACGCCGUACGGAGGACAGUCGUCGGAGAACGCGGCGGCGACGACUACGAGGAGCUAUUACGAGGAAGAUGAACCUUACGUAGAGAUCACUCUUGAUAUCCACGACGAUUUCGUCUCCGUGCACGGUUUAAAGUCACCGGACCAUAGAGGCGCCGGAUCGAGAUACGAGGAUGACUCGCUUCUUAGACCAGGUCGUUCAGGGAGGAGUAACUCGGUGUUGAAACGCUUAGCUUCUUCUGUUUCUAGCGAACUGAAACGAGUUGCUUCUUCCGUUUCUAGAAAACCGCCGAGGCCGCAGCAGGCUCGGCUACACCGUUCCAAGUCUAGAGCAGAGUUAGCACUCAAAGGUCUCAAGUUCAUCACCAAGACUGAUGGCGUCACUGGUUGGUUUGAAGUUGAGAGAAAGUUCAAUGAGAUUACAAAGACUAGCAAUGGUUUAUUGCACCGUUUCAAAUUCGGUGAAUGUAUAGGUUAGCAGAAGCAGAGUUUUUCAUAUUUCUCUGUUUUUUGCAAAACUUUUUUUGUUUUUACAUUAAUUUUUGCUACAGGGAUGAAGUCGACGGAGUUUGCAUUGGCAUUGUUCGAUGCUUUAGCGAGGAGGGAAAACGUAAGUGGAGAUUCAAUAAACAUAGAUGAGCUUAAGGAGUUCUGGAAGCAGAUCACUGAUCAAGAUUUUGAUUCGAGGCUACGAACUUUUUUCGCCAUGUAAUGUUUCUUCUUGAAACCAUUUGUUGUGAUUUCUGUAUGUGAGCUUCCAGUUUCAUAUUGAACUGUGGUGUGAACUUCAGGGUCGAUAAGGAUUCGGAUGGACGGUUGAAUGAAGGCGAAGUAAGAGAGGUAGAAUCUUGAUUUGUGUAGUGAUGUUUUAUCAGGAAUCUUGAAGCUCUUUGUGAUCGAUUUACAAGUGGUACGUGUACAGAUUAUAGCUUUGAGUGCUUCUGCAAACGAGCUGGAUAAUAUUCGUAAACAAGCUGAUGAAUAUGCUGCUUUGAUUAUGGAAGAACUAGAUCCCUAUCAUUAUGGGUACAUCAUGGUAUGUGAUGUUUUGUGAAUGAGGUUUGUUUUUAAUUGAUCUUUUGUUAGUUAGAAAAUGUUUUGGUUUGUGAGUGUUUUUUGAUGUGUUUGGAGGCACUUGCUACAAUGCAAAACAGAUAGAGAAUCUCGAGAUACUUCUAUUGCAAUCGCCGAUCCAAGAUGUGAGAGAUGGGGAGAGUAAGAAUCUGAGCAAGAUGCUAAGCCAUAAUCUCAAGGUUCCGCAGAGUAGGAAUCUCGGGGCACGCUUUUACCGAUGGAUAAAGUAUUUUGUGUUUGAUAAUUGGAAGAGAGUGUGGGUGAUGGCUCUAUGGAUAGGUGCUAUGGCCGGGCUGUUUACCUGGAAGUUCAUGCAGUAUAGAAAAAGAUCAGCUUACCAAGUAAUGGGAGUGUGUGUUUGUGUAGCUAAAGGAGCUGCAGAGACGCUUAAACUAAACAUGGCUAUGAUUUUGUUACCAGUUUGUAGGAACACCAUCACUUGGCUCCGGACCAAAACCAAGUUAGGUGUUGUUGUUCCUUUUGAUGACAGCCUCAAUUUUCACAAGGUAACGCUUUUAGCUCGCUGGAGAGUAUUAAAAAAAAAGGUUUCAGAUAGGAAUGCUUAUGAAUGAAUCUUACACAGGUCAUAGCAAUAGGAAUUUCAGUUGGAGUUGGAAUCCAUGCUACAUCUCACUUAGCCUGUGAUUUCCCCCGGCUGAUAGCUGCUGAUGAAGACAAGUAUAAGCCAAUGGUGCAAUAUUUUGGGCCACAGACAAAGAGAUAUAUGGACUUUGUGCAGUCAGUAGAAGGAGUUACGGGGAUUGCAAUGGUUACACUAAUGACCAUAGCCUUCACAUUGGCUACAACAUGGUUCAGACGUAGUAAGCUCAAGCUUCCUGGACCACUUCAGAAAAUAACAGGCUUCAACGCCUUCUGGUACUCUCACCACUUGUUUGUUAUUGUAUACUCACUUCUUGUUGUUCACGGAUACUAUGUCUACCUCAUCAAGCCAUGGUACAAGAAAACGGUUAGUAACUUACUAACCACUACUAGACCCAACACAAAGUUGUAACAGAUGCAAUAUGGACUCUGACGUUGGUUCAUGUGAUGAUUUCAUAGACGUGGAUGUAUUUGAUGGUACCGGUGGUUCUUUACUUGUUUGAAAGGCUGAUUCGUGCAUUCAGGUCAAGCGUCGAGGCUGUUUCAGUGCUAAAGGUGGAAUCUAUAAACAUUUCUACAUUGAAAUAUCCAAGAAAAGAAAUACUGCGGUAUAUAUAUUCAUCUGUUUUAUUAUUACCUUACAUUUUCAACAGGUUGCUGUGUUACCAGGGAAUGUCUUGUCGCUGCACUUAUCAAGACCAAACAACUUCAGAUACAAGAGCGGACAAUACAUGUAUCUCAACUGUAGAACAGUUUCUACUUUAGAAUGGUAAUAAGGAAAACUCUUAUAUUAUCUGAGACAUUUGUAUGGAAAUUGAGCUGAACACUGGUUUACAUGUAAACAGGCAUCCAUUCUCAAUUACCUCGGCUCCGGGAGAUGACUACCUCAGUGUCCACAUUAGAGUUCUAGGAGACUGGACUCGGCAGUUAAGAUCAUUAUUCUCUGAGGUAUUUCCCCUAAACAUAUGAACACAUGAUAUUAAUUUGGGUCCAAGGAUGUAAAUUUCUUCGUAUUUGUCUGAACCUCAGCUGUGUAAACCACACCUUCUUGGUGGAAACAGAUUGAACAUAGCCUCCCCGAGGCACCAGGAUAACAUAUCUAAGUAAGUCUUGUUAAUAACUAAACUAUUCAUCAGUUAUUUUCUAGCUAGGUUAAUUUCAAACCGUUGAAGCAUAUAUAGAGGCUUAUAUAAAUACAUAACCAGUCUAUAACAUUGUAAAAUUUGUCUUCGAAACAUGAUCACUUAGCUAUCCAAGAAUCCUAAUCGACGGUCCAUAUGGAGCACCAGCCCAAGACUACCAGAAGUUUGAAGUUGUUCUACUAGUGGGUUUAGGAAUUGGAGCUACUCCGAUGAUUAGUAUUGUUAAGGACAUAAUCAAUAACUUAAAAGGCAGUGGAGAAGAAGGCAGUAACCGAAGACAGUCACCGAUCCACAACAUGGUCUCUCCUCCUCAAUCUCCAGCAAGAAAAAGUGAGACGUUCAGAACCAAGAGAGCUUACUUCUACUGGGUCACAAGAGAGCAAGGAUCUUUUGACUGGUUCAAGAACGUGAUGGACGAAGUGGCAGAAACAGACCACAACAACGUUAUUGAACUGCAUAAUUACUGCACCAGCGUCUACGAGGAAGGAGACGCGAGGUCCGCAUUGAUCACGAUGCUCCAGUCGCUGAACCAAGUUAAGAAUGGAGUGGACGUUGUGUCAGGAACACGUGUCAUGUCCCAUUUCGCUAGGCCAAACUGGAGAAGCGUUUUCAAAAAGAUCGCUGUGAAGCAUCCUAAGACUAGAGUCGGUGAGUUUCUUGUUAGCAAACACUCACUCACAUAUUUAUGUAUAUGUCAAAUAAUGUGAAUGAUUGGUAAAAUUGGCAGGAGUGUUUUAUUGUGGAGCAGCUGGAUUAGUGAAAGAGCUACGACACUUAGCACUGGAUUUCUCUCAUAAGACCUCCACCAAGUUCAUUUUCCAUAAAGAGAAUUUCUAAGAAAAUCACGUUUGGAAGAUCUAUGUUAAACAAUGCUCUUAAGAGUAUUUGAUAUAGUUAAAAUUGUACAUAUAUAAUGAGAUUUGAUAUAGUUUUGGUUUUGUACAAAAAAAAGAAAGGAAACUAAACAACAAAUACCAGAUCAUGUUUGUGUAUUACUACGCAGACUACAGAACAUUAACUUUCCUCCAAAUAUCAAGCUUCCUCGAGAUCCUUUCCUAUAUACUGUCUCAGCUGAAAAAAUGUCGUAGCACUCUUUUUAACUGUCUCACUAUCAUGAGUAACUAUAAUAAAGGAAAGAAAGAACAGAACCUUACCCUGAGAGUUACGUAAAGCUCACUUCUGCUUUCUUUUCAGUCUCUGGAAGUUGGGUUUCAUGAGCUGGCUUGAUGAAAUCUGAGUUGUCUGAAAAGGAAUCAGAGGCUUCUUCUGAGACAAGACACACACAUCUGAUGAGAUGGGGCUAUGUAUGACUACGCUUGGUGAUCCAACUUUUCCUCUCAUCUUCCUCGGAGCUUCAAGUCUUUCUAAAAUCAUUGACGUUUUCAUAUCAGACUGUUUGUUGUUAUUCUGUAUAGGAGACAGAGCUUGGCGGUCUAUCUUUCGUUUGUGUGUAGUUAUAACCGGAGAAGAGGACUUCAUGACAGCCUCCUCAGUGACUACUAGUUGUUCCCAUUCUUUAGUAAUGGAAGCUUGUUCUUCUUCAUCAAUUAUAUGAACUUCCUGAAGGAUUUCUGGAUUGACUAUGUGUGGAAAGGUCUGUGCCGUUGGAAGUACAGAAUCUGAAGACACUGAACUCAGAUCAUAUGUUGCGUCUUUUAUGUUUGAAUGUAAUGAGCUUCCAAAAAUAAGAAAGAUAAGUUAGAGAUCUGUAACAGAUUUGUAGGGGUUCUAAUGAAGAAGAGAAGAGAGAAGAGAAUAAUCACCCAAAUUGAAGACUUUCCUUCACAAUGAGGUUCAGUUUUUGGUGGAAGCCUCUGUUGUGUGUCAGAGGAUUGUAGUCUGUUGAUUCAAUCUGUUUAAAUUGCAGAAAUAAAAGACAAGUUAUAGGUCUAAUCACUUGAUAUCAAUAUAAAAAAAUUGAAAUGAAAUCGACCUCUAACAAAGCGCCUUUGACAGAGAUCUCGAUUUCUCUAGGAAUAGAGGACUCUGCAAACUGACUGGCACUGGAAAUAGGUAGGACUUCUUCUGACCCUGCCAAUCUCUGCAAAUAGUUAUCUGUUAAACUAAGGAACUGCACAACUCAAGACAUAACAGAAACUUAUUAUAUCAUAGGGAAAAUACUAAUCAGGAAGAGAGUCAAGAGUAAUGUAAUUUUACCUUCAGGAGCAUUGGACCAUUUUCUGACGGUUGAAGAAUGUAAUAACAAUGAAAUUCCACGACUGUCAUGGUGUCUAGAUUACAGUUUGAAGAACAAACCAAGCCUUGGUCCAUUGAAUAUAGAGCACCACAUAGUCCCUGAAAAACUGGAUUUAUAGAUGAUUACUUGAUUAGGAAAAAUAUUAGUCAUGCGUAUAUACUUAUACUAUAGACACCUGAGCUAUGACAAUGUGGGUUUCUUUAGGGAAAAAUGUACUUACUCUGAGUGUUCAGAUCUGGUUGAUCCAUUUCUUCUGAAGAAGCGUCUGUUUCAUGACAGGUUGAAGGGCUUACAAUGUAAGGUGCCCCAAGUAGUAGGCCUGCGUCAAAGUAGUAUAGUUGAACCAUGGAGGCAAAAACCGAAUUCAGAGUGCAGUAGAAUAGCUCAAAGCCUUACCUUCGCUGAGAGAAGUUAAAUUAGUCUUCUGUAUGACAUUGAACUCAACUUGGGAAGAAAUUUGAUGAAGUUUCUGGAGGCUAUGGAUU